AACGAACGCUGGCGGCAUGCCUAACACAUGCAAGUCGAACGAGACCUUCGGGUCUAUUUGCGCACGUGUGCGUAACGCGGGGGAACCUGCCCUUAGGUUCGGAAUAACUCCCCGAAAGGGGUGCUAAUACCGGAUAAUGUCUUCGGACCAAGGAGUUAUCGCCUUUGGAUGGGCCCGCGUUGGAUUAGCUAGUUGGUAGGGUAAAAGCCUACCAAGGCGACGAUCCAUAGCUGGUCUGAGAGGAUGAUCAGCCACACUGGGAUUGAGACACGGCCCAGACUCCUACGGGAGGCAGCAGUGGGGAAUAUUGGACAAUGGGCGAUAGCCUGAUCAAGCAAUGCCGCGUGAGUGAUGAAGGCCUUAGGGUUGUAAAGCUCUUUUACCCGGGAUGAUAAUGACAGUACCGGGAGAAUAAGCUCCGGCUAACUCCGUG
rnacentral:rRNA from 1 species